rnacentral:rRNA from 1 species
UACGAAGGGGGCUAGCGUUGCUCGGAAUCACUGGGCGUAAAGCGCACGUAGGCGGCUUCUUAAGUCAGGGGUGAAAUCCUGGAGCUCAACUCCAGAACUGCCUUUGAUACUGGGAAGCUUGAGUCCGGAAGAGGUGAGUGGAACUGCGAGUGUAGAGGUGAAAUUCGUAGAUAUUCGCAAGAACACCAGUGGCGAAGGCGGCUCACUGGUCCGGUACUGACGCUGAGGUGCGAAAGCGUGGGGAGCAAACAGG